rnacentral:lncRNA from 1 species
ACCACUUCAAAUACAUUCUUGGUCGGCAUUGGAUUAAUUCUUUUCCUUAUUUGGUGAACAUUAUUGUUAGUACUGUAAUUGAUGCCAUAUUAAUUCAAAACAAAGAGAAAGCAAUGGUUUCAAAGGUUGGUUUCUAGAUGGAAAUGCUAACAAUUAGUUCAUAACAGUGAUAGGAAAUUUAUGACUUGUUUGGUUAAAUUCCGCAAAGUAUAUCUAAUUAUCAUCUGAGUCUG